rnacentral:pre_miRNA from 1 species
AAAAUACUCCCUCCGUUCGAAAUUACUUGUCUCGAAAAUGGAUGUAUGUAGAACUAAAAUACAUCUAAAUACAUCCAUUUCUGCGACAAGUAAUUCCGAACGGAGGGAGUAAUAG